rnacentral:rRNA from 1 species
CGAGCUGAUGGAGCACGCCGCGUGUGUGAUGAAGGCUUUCGGGUCGUAAAGCACUGUUGUAUGGGAAGAACAGCUAGAAUAGGGAAUGAUUUUAGUUUGACGGUACCAUACCAGAAAGGGACGGCUAAAUACGUGCCAGCAGCCGCGGUAAUACGUAUGUCCCGAGCGUUAUCCGGAUUUAUUGGGCGUAAAGCGAGCGCAGACGGUUGAUUAAGUCUGAUGUGAAAGCCCGGAGCUCAACUCCGGAAUGGCAUUGGAAACUGGCUAACUUGAGUGCAGUAGAGGUAAGUGGAACUCCAUGUGUAGCGGUGGAAUGCGUAGAUAUAUGGAAGAACACCAGUGGCGAAGGCGGCUUACUGGACUGUAACUGACGUUGAGGCUCGAAAGUGUGGGUAGCAAACAGGAUUAGAUACCCUGGUAGUCCACACCGUAAACGAUGAACACUAGGUGUUAGGAGGUUUCCGCCUCUUAGUGCCGAAGCUAACGCAUUAAGUGUUCCGCCUGGGGAGUACGACCGCAAGGUUGAAACUCAAAGGAAUUGACGGGGACCCGCACAAGCGGUGGAGCAUGUGGUUUAAUUCGAAGCAACGCGAAGAACCUUACCAGGUCUUGACAUCCUUUGAAGCUUUUAGAGAUAGAAGUGUUCUCUUCGGAGACAAAGUGACAGGUGGUGCAUGGUCGUCGUCAGCUCGUGUCGUGAGAUGUUGGGUUAAGUCCCGCAACGAGCGCAACCCUUAUUGUUAGUUGCCAGCAUUCAGAUGGGCACUCUAGCGAGACUGCCGGUGACAAACCGGAGGAAGGCGGGGACGACGUCAGAUCAUCAUGCCCCUUAUGACCUGGGCUACACACGUGCUACAAUGGCGUAUACAACGAGUUGCCAACCCGCGAGGGUGAGCUAAUCUCUUAAAGUACGUCUCAGUUCGGAUUGUAGUCUGCAACUCGACUACAUGAAGUCGGAUCG